rnacentral:tRNA from 1 species
GCGCGAGUGGUGAAAUGGUAUACACGCUACCUUGAGGUGGUAGUGCCGAAAGGUGUGGAGGUUCGACUCCUCUCUCGCGCACCA